AACAACCCAGAGUACGCGGGGGUCAAGUGAAGAAGCGCAUACGGUGGAUGCCUUGGCAGUCAGAGGCGAUGAAAGACGUGGUAGCCUGCGAAAAGCUUCGGGGAGUCGGCAAACAGACUGUGAUCCGGAGAUGUCUGAAUGGGGGAACCCAGCCAUCACAAGAUGGUUAUCUUGCACUGAAUACAUAGGUGCAAGAGGCGAACCAGGGGAACUGAAACAUCUAAGUACCCUGAGGAAAAGAAAUCAACCGAGAUUCCCUUAGUAGUGGCGAGCGAACGGGGACUAGCCCUUAAGCUUCUUUGAUUUUAGCGGAACGCUCUGGAAAGUGCGGCCAUAGUGGGUGAUAGCCCUGUACGCGAAAGGAUCUUAGAAGUGAAAUCGAGUAGGACGGAGCACGAGAAACUUUGUCUGAAUAUGGGGGGACCAUCCUCCAAGGCUAAAUACUACUGACUGACCGAUAGUGAACUAGUACCGUGAGGGAAAAAA
rnacentral:rRNA from 1 species